GGAGAGGUGUGAGAGUGGUUUAAUCAGCACGCUUGGAAAGUGUGUGUACUGUUAAAGGUACCCAGGGUUCGAAUCCCUGUCUCUCCGCCA
rnacentral:tRNA from 3 species